CAGCAGAUACCUGGCUAUGAACGCCGCCCAACCCCGUCAGGACAGGAAUGUAGCAGCGGUAAGCGGAAAGUUUAUGAGACCGGGACCAUUUGCUGCUG
rnacentral:SRP_RNA from 1 species